UACGAAGGGUGCAAGCGUUACUCGGAAUUACUGGGCGUAAAGCGUGCGCAGGCGGUUGUGCAAGACAGAUGUGAAAUCCCCCGGGCUCAACCUGGGAACUGCAUUUGUGACUGCACGGCUGGAGUGCGGCAGAGGGGGAUGGAAUUCCGCGUGUAGCAGUGAAAUGCGUAGAUAUGCGGAGGAACACCAAUGGCGAAGGCAAUCCCCUGGGCCUGCACUGACGCUCAUGCACGAAAGCGUGGGGAGCAAACAGG
rnacentral:rRNA from 1 species